rnacentral:rRNA from 1 species
CCCUUAGAUGUCCUGGGCCGCACGCGCGUUACACUGAUGCAUUCAACGAGCUUAUAACCUUGGCCGAGAGGCCUGGGCAAUCUUGUUAACGUGCAUCGUGAUAGGGAUAGAUUAUUGAAAUUAUUAAUCUUGAACGAGGAAUUCCUAGUAAACGCAGAUCAUCAAUCUGCAUUGAUUACGUCCCUGCCCUUUGUACACACCGCCCGUCGCACCUACCGAUUGGAUGGUCCGGUGAAGCCUCGGGAUUGUGGCGGUUGCCUUUAUUGGUGGCCGCCGCGAGAACUUGUCUAAACCUUAUCAUCUAGAGGAAGGUGAAGUCGUANCA